rnacentral:misc_RNA from 1 species
AUCAUUUGGUCCACCGACCAUGUAGCUCCCAAAAAAAUCGCAAUGUCUUCCAUACUCUUAUUUAGUGUUAUUUAUAUAGAAAGUAGUUUAAGUGAUUGAAGCCAGUGUUCGGUGCAAACAGAUGUAAAGGAUAAAAUGGGAAAGUGAAUCGAAACGAUUAUAAAUAACCCACCUGGGGGAUGGGGAAGGAUUAUUUAAAAAAUCGAUAUUCGUGCAAAGUGAAAGGCCAACGGGUGGUAUCAAUGCUAUACUUAAAGUAGCAAUCGCGCGCUGCUAAUGAAUUGCAACGCAAAUUGAAUUAAAUAUAUAUGCUGUAACGUAGCAUGCUGUGAUAUCAAAAUGGGAUUCCCCUUGGUUAAUGUUAUUAACAACGAUUCAAGCCCACAACUUAAUUAAAAGCUACGUAAUCGGUUCAAGAGACCAGACGAAGGAACAUUUCGUAAAAAUGUAACAUAAACUAUUGAAGUAUUUGUAACCUGCAUACAAAAUCACUGAAAAGUCUUCCAACCAGUUGCCAUUUAGCUCUGGAUUAGCUUGUAAGGGAAUUAUAUAGUUUUUGUUGUGUCUAAAUUUGAAUAUCGAUUGUCUUCCUAAUAUAAUACGUCACGGUUUUGUGAAAUAUAUACACGUUUACGAGUGUUACUGUUUAUAAAAAGUUCAAAACCAAGUCUUCCAAUAACCGAUUUUCGGUUGAACAGUCAUGAUUUCUUCGAAAGUUUGUUCUCCGAGUGAGGUCACGUCGCAAGGACCAACGCUUCCACCAAAGCCAUCUUCCAACUCAGUCGAACGCAAAGGAAAGCGGCGACGUAAACCGAAAAUCAUGCGGCGUUUUUUUGAGCACGAUGUCCGAGGACUAUGCUCUCCAAAUGAUAUAAAAAUGUAUGAGAAAUAUGAAGCAGCCAAAAACAAAUUCAAGCCAUUAGUGCCGAAAGGAUUGAACGGACAAAAUGCUAAAAGAACUGCAAACAAGAAAAAGCAAUUGAAGCGUUACCAUUCCAAGAAUGGCGGUCAACAGCAAAACAUUUCGAUGUGUUGUUGUCACUGCUCAUGCUCGGCCUCGGCCGGAAACAAUCUCCACAAUCAUGCAGGGAAUCAUAUGCAUGGGUUGAUGAUAAAACCCUCAAAAACGUCAGGGGGAGGAGGAUUCAAUGCGAGCAUGGAGGCAGGAGGGCUGCAGCAUUUUACUAUACCCUUCAAUUCUUAUGCCGGUACCGGCUAUGGAACGCACAUUCCGUAUGAACUGUUGGCAGAAAUUGCGCCAGUUCGUAGUAAGGAAUUACGUAGUGUUGUGAGCGUUCGCGAGACCCAUCAAAUUGCCGAGGCGCAGCAGGAAAAAAAUGCAAAAUUACGGGAAGCCUUCGGAAUAUCUGAGUAUUUCGUCGAAGGCACCAGUUUCGAUCCUGAUCGCAAAGCAAAAGAGGAUCUUGUGAAAAGUGCAGCACUACAACAGGAAUUGCAAGCUCAGAAAGAAGUAGAGAAGGAGAAAAGUCGCAAAUAUGCACUUGUGAGGACUCCAUCUAAGGAGAAGGACGUUGAGAAAACGAAAAAAGAUCCCGGCGAGAAAAAGAAGAAAAAGAGAAAGCAUCGCGAUACGUCCUCGAGUCCAGAACGCAAAAAAGACAAAAAGAAGAAAUCAAAGAAGCAUAAGAAAGAGAGAUAAUUAGGAAAAAUGAUGUUGCAGUAAAUAGUAUACUGCAACGAUAAACUCUUUAAAAAAACAUUUGGCUAAUGAUGUACCUUAACGACGACAGACCAUUUUGAAGAGUUAAUAUAAAGGUCAAAGAAAAAGAAGUCGAAAAAACAUAAAGACAAGGAUUCGGAUUCAGAUUCAUCCGAUGAAAGUGAUUCUGACAAUGAUUCAAGCGAUUCUGAGGAAGAAGUGAA